rfam:Mycosphaerella graminicola mitochondrion, complete genome.
GACCCACUGGUCUAAGGGUUAAGACGUAAUGUUUUCACCAUUAAAUUUUGGGUUCAAAUCCCAAGUGGGUUA